rnacentral:rRNA from 1 species
AGUACAGACGAGUUUGAUCCUGGCUCGGAUUGAACGCUGGCGGCAUGCUUUACACAUGCAAGUCGAACGGUAACAGGCCUUCGGGUGCUGACGAGUGGCGAACGGGUGAGUAAUGCAUCGGAACGUGCCCAAUCGUGGGGGAUAACGUAGCGAAAGUUACGCUAAUACCGCAUAAGCCCUGAGGGGGAAAUGGGGGACCGCAAGGCCUCACGCGAAUGGAGCGGCCGAUGUCAGAUUAGCUAGUUGGUGGGGUAAAGGCCCACCAAGGCGACGAUCUGUAGCGGGUCUGAGAGGAUGAUCCGCCACACUGGGACUGAGACACGGCCCAGACUCCUACGGGAGGCAGCAGUGGGGAAUUUUGGACAAUGGGCGCAAGCCUGAUCCAGCCAUGCCGCGUGCGGGACGAAGGCCUUCGGGUUGUAAACCGCUUUCAGCCGGAAAGAAAUCGCCGUUUUUAAUACAGACGGUGGAUGACGGUACCGGAAGAAGAAGCACCGGCUAACUACGUG